GACGAACGCUGGCGGCGUGCCUAAUACAUGCAAGUCGAACGCACUCUCGUUUAGAUUGAAGGAGCUUGCUCCUGAUUGAUAAACAUUUGAGUGAGUGGCGGACGGGUGAGUAACACGUGGGUAACCUGCCCUAAAGUGGGGGAUAACAUUUGGAAACAGAUGCUAAUACCGCAUAAAACCUAACACCGCAUGGUGUAGGGUUGAAAGAUGGUUUCGGCUAUCACUUUAGGAUGGACCCGCGGUGCAUUAGUUAGUUGGUGAGGUAAAGGCUCACCAAGACCGUGAUGCAUAGCCGACCUGAGAGGGUAAUCGGCCACACUGGGACUGAGACACGGCCCAGACUCCUACGGGAGGCAGCAGUAGGGAAUCUUCCACAAUGGACGAAAGUCUGAUGGAGCAACGCCGCGUGAGUGAAGAAGGUUUUCGGAUCGUAAAACUCUAGUUGUUGGUAGAAGAAUGUAUCUGAUAGUAACUGAUCAGGUAGUGACGGUAUCCAACCAGAAAG
rnacentral:rRNA from 1 species